rnacentral:rRNA from 1 species
UACGUAGGGGGCAAGCGUUGUCCGGAAUCAUUGGGCGUAAAGCGCGUGUAGGCGGUCCGGUAAGUCCGCUGUGAAAGUCGGGGGCUCAACCCUCGGAUGCCGGUGGAUACUGUCGGGCUUGAGUACGGAAGAGGCGAGUGGAAUUCCUGGUGUAGCGGUGAAAUGCGCAGAUAUCAGGAGGAACACCAAUGGCGAAGGCAGCUCGCUGGGACGGUACUGACGCUGAGACGCGAAAGCGUGGGGAGCAAACAGG